rnacentral:rRNA from 1 species
UGGGGAAUAUUGCACAAUGGGGGAAACCCUGAUGCAGCGACGCCGCGUGAGCGAAGAAGGCUUUCGAGUCGUAAAGCUCUGUCCUAUGAGAAGAUAAUGACGGUAUCAUAGGAGGAAGCCCUGGCUAAAUACGUGCCAGCAGCCGCGGUAAUACGUAUGGGGCGAGCGUUGUCCGGAAUUAUUGGGCGUAAAGGGUACGUAGGCGGUUUUUUAAGUCAGGUGUCAAAGCGUGGAGCUUAACUCCAUUAAGCACUUGAAACUGAAAGACUUGAGUGAAGGAGAGGAAAGUGGAAUUCCUAGUGUAGCGGUGAAAUGCGUAGAUAUUAGGAGGAAUAACGGUGGCGAAGGCGACUUUCUGGACUUUUACUGACGCUCAGGUACGAAAGCGUGGGGAGCAAACAGG